rnacentral:lncRNA from 1 species
AAGUGUCGAUAUCCUUAUUGGCUCGGGUUUAUACUCUCCUCUAAAUUCGACAUUGUUUAGAUAAUUCCCUCAUUUCCAAAUAGAAAAUACGUAGGCUAAAUGACAGACACUUGUGAAAAUAAUUAGAAUAAAAAAGUGGAUCUAGAUUUUACCAUAGACACAUGAUCUCAGUCACUAAAAUCGCCAUAUGCCACCACAUACAUGUCUUUAAUUCACCACAUGCUGUUGUCGGAGCAUCACUACCAGAGGACUACCACUGGACCACUACCGGACCACCUCAUGUUACUAUAAAAU